rnacentral:lncRNA from 10 species
AGGGUUCAGUACUGUAUAUUUCAACUUGUUAGCAAGUCAGAAGCACAAGCGGGAAAUCAGCCUACACCGCUACUGAGGAUGAAUGGGAAAGGCUAAAUUGAUGAGCUGCUGUUUAGAUUUUCCCACUGGGAAUUAUUCUCAACUGUCCAGGCUUACAUCAUUCAGUGACGUAAUGGGUGGAAGGUGGAGAAGGCAUUCUGGCAGAUUAACCUGUAACUGUCAGUGGGGACUUGCCUCGGAGGGCUUUGCCACCAUGAGGAAACCCGGACACAAAGGAUGGCAUGCGGCACUGAAACGUCAAGGGCUGUUGCUAUUUGGAUAAGCAGCUCUUACAGAGAGGAGCAAGUAACCACCAGACACUUGUGCGCUCUACCCUAAAGUCCAAAUAACUAUUUGAGGACUAAUGAGCACUUUUCAACAGUUAAGAAGAGGAGCUGCACAAUUACAAAAGGGGAACACAAGUUGUUGAAAAAUGAACUGGGUGAGCUUUUCAUGGAAAUCCACAGUACCUCGAAAUUCUGGCUCCUUCUUGGUAGGGAAGCAGAGCCUACUAAUGCCUCAUUUGAGCGCUGCAGUGGAUUCAGGUUAAGCCUCAGAUGAGAAGACAGAAACCGGCGGAGGAGAGGGAGGGGAUCACAUUUAGCUGCCUCAGUUAUCCUUACGUUACUCAACGCAUUCUACUAUUUUUUCCUGCUAGAUCUGUUAUGCCAUUAUAAAGUUGCUUCUAUAAAAGAGUUUUAUUUUUGAAUAUAUAUUAUGUUGGAUGUAAUGAAAUCCUAAAAAAGAGUAACCUAGAAAAUGUCACUGUUAUUCCUGCCCUUAACUGGACCAUGCUAUUAAGUUAUAAAUAAGCACCUAAUGUGUGCCUGGCACCCUACUGAGCACUUACCACACCUUCUAUCAACUAGUUCUCAGGACAAUCUUAGGCAGGCAUUAUUGUUUCCAUUUUACAGCCAAGGAAACCAAGGCUGAGAGACUGAAGUAGUAUACUCAGAGUCACACAACUCAGUAAGUGGGAAGUUAGGAUUCAAACACAGGUAUAUCAUCAGCUAACCAUUCUUCGGUUGCAAAGAAGAGAAACCAAUUCUGGCUAAUUUAAGCAAAAAUGAAGUUUACUGGAAGCAUUAAGAAUUUACAGGUGCUGGGUGCGAUGGCUCACACCUGUAAUCCCAGCACUUUGGGAGGCUGAGGUGGGUGGAUCACUUGAGGCCAGGAGUUCGAGACCAGCCUGGCCAACACAGUGAAACCCCAUCACUACUAAUAAUACAAAAAAUUAGCCAGGGGCAGUGGUGUGUGCCUGUAAUCCCAGCUACUGGGUCAGGGACGGGGGUGGGGAGCUGAGACAUGAGAAUCGCUUGAACCUGGGAGGCGGAGGCUGCAGUGACUCAAGAUCGUACCACUGCACUGCAGCCUGGGUGACAAAGUGAGACUCUGUCUCAAAAAAAAAAAAAUAAUUUAAUGGAAGGAUAAGAAUCAAAGAAAAAGGUGAAAUGCUCAGCCUCAGAAAGAAAAGGAACGAGAGCAGUUCCAAGAAUCCAGAAAAUGAGGUUUAACAGGCAGUCUCUUGCAUGUAGCACUGGGAGAAUGAAUCAAGUCCAACCACCUCCCUCCCUUGAUUUAUUUUACCUGGGAUUCAAAUUCUCUGAUGAGGGGGUCUGACUGACCUCAUUUGGGUCAUAUGCCCAACCCCUGGCUGAAGAGAAGAGGGUGCUGGACUGACCAUCCCAAGAAGCCUGCCAAUGGGGACAGGCAGUCCUCAAAAGAAAAUGAGGUAGUGUCAUAUGAAGGAGGAAAGGAUGCUGGAGGAAAGAAAGCAUGCAGUCACUCUCCCAGCUCUGACAGACUUCCAGCUACUGCUGGCUCACUGCCUUGUGCUUCAACACUACCCGAGGUAUACACAGAAUAACUACGGUAAUGCUAGAAAAGGCUUGUGACACAAGGCAAUGUCCUCAGCUGAUGUCUCUGCAUAGCCCCUCAAACCAGACACCAUGUCACAUUCGUCUCUGUACCUCCGGCUCCUAGAUAGUACCUGUGCACAAUAGGCCCUUAAUAAAUACUUACUGAAUGAAUAAAAG